rnacentral:lncRNA from 1 species
AUUGCGGUGUAUUGAUAAACUCCGCAUUAUUUAUUAAUGUAUAUAUUAAGUUUUUCUUUAAUUGUAUAUGGUUGGUACGGCUUUAUUUUUAAUGAGUUAUAUCCUGAAAAUACAAGUGAAUACAAUUUUUUUUUUCCUUCCUUGGGAGCACCACUGGUAAGCUGCUUUACAGAAUACUGAGUUAUGAUCAGAAGUGCCAAUUCCCCUGCAUAAAUUUGUGUACUUUUGCAAGUUACAACUGAAUUUGAUAUGAUAAAGCAACAAACAUUAAAAAACCAAUGUUGUAUAAUUUUUUAAAAGUAUACAAAUUUAUGUAGACAUAUUUGGUCUUUAUAGAAAGUAACUCCCAUUCUUAUCUCCAGCUUUGUUUAAGGUGGUACCCAACACUUUCACUAAAAUUAAUUUGGCUCGUUUAAUUUUCAUAAAAUUUUGACAAUGUAUUUACUUUGAACCUUUUACAAAAAUAUAUAAAAAUUUUGAAAAUUUUGAACCAACCGUUUUGUCAGAAAAAUUACACUGGUUAUAUAGCAGUUUGACAAACACCAAUUUUGAUCAUUAAGAAGCUUAAUAUUCCCUUUACAAAACAACGUAAUUAAAACAUUUAGCUGACUUUACAGAGUUAUCUCCCUGUAGUGUUAAGUACCACAUUGAAAUUCAGUUCUGAUAUCAAGUAUGCACAUGCAUCUUAUGUUUUGAUGGAAUAACAACUUUCGAGUUCAAUGCAUUUCCGUCAAAAACUCUAGUUUUAGUGAACGUCAUUUGUGCGUUUAGGGGUGUCGUCACUUCCAUUCCAAUGUAGAGCGAGUGGUUGGAAAACUAUAAUUCUAUAUUGUACGAAUUAUUCGGCAAAUUGAAUUCUCAAAAUUGACAAUCAACACUGCUGUCAUUAGGGAAUUGUCAGUAAGUACCUACAGAGCAACCAUUAUUUCUAGUUUAUCCAACACAAUGACGAUCACUAAGACGCUUGAUGAACGUAAAUAGUGCAGGGAUACAGGCGAC